rnacentral:misc_RNA from 1 species
UAAAAAAAUCUGUAAUGUGUAAUUCUGCAAUGCGCGAGAAUGAACUUAUUGAGAUAUAGUGCACUAAUUGUAAGUGUGUCACUAUUAAUUCUUGGACGAUUCGUAUUCAUACAACAGAGGCGUUGAUACAAAGAGACUAUCGCAUACUAUCUUGUAAAUAGUGAGUAAGGAUUGAUAAUCGAUAUGACAUAUAUGUGUAUCUCUGCAUAAGUCUACACAUAUAUAGCUCUAGAAAUUGUAAAUUUAUUUGCCGUACUUGUACAACUUUGGAAUUACAAAGGGAAAGCAAGAGCAUUAGAAAUUUCAACCUUCCUGUUUGGAAAAUGUCCAUCGUUAUAUGCUUGUUGGUAGUUUCAAUAAAAUAGUGAAUCAAUAACGGCAGUACUGCAGGAUCGGUUUCAGAAAAGUAUACAUUCAUACAUAUUGAAAGAUAAGUAAUUUAAUUUUUAUUUUUCUCGAAGAUUUCUUCUAUGUAAGAAGCGAAUAAGUAAAUAAGGAAGUAUUAAACGGACAGAUUUAUUGAAAUCAUGAAUAGUUUAUAUAUUCAUCUUUCUUUUUAAUAAUUGUGUCUUCAUUUAAUUAUAUCUUCUACUAAUUAAGCAGUUGCAUUAACAAUUAAGAUAAACGAAAUAUUUGAUUUCAGUGCACCAAGAUAAAUCCAAUUGUGUACAAUAAAUAAGUCCAACAUUAAGAAAAAGUCUAAAGAGUGCAGUGCGGCCCUACAUAAACAACUUUCACAUAUUUUAUGAGGCAUCUUCGCUUUCAAGCGAUUAAUUUCUCAAUUGUAGGAUAAAUGGCUAUAAACAUCAUCCCCUUGUAAUGUUCUCGACUAGACGUUGCAUUAUUAAUGUACGACUAUACGCUCCUAAAUAGGGCUAAAUAGUGGUAUUAUACUUCUAACAAUGUACGUGAUCCCUUAUGACAUGCAAUGAUCUACCAUUUUGAAUGUGAUGUAAAGAAAGGAAAAUCCAGUACCUUCAUAGACACCAGUAUGGAAGUUACGAAGCAUUUAGCAUAUAGAGACUACGAAUGGGCCAUUGAAUUUAAUCGGGUCAGUUUAACAUUGUUCGGCGUUUGGCCUAUAAACAACGAAACGAAGCAAAAAAAUUAAUGUCGGACAUACGUGUGAUUAUUACAUUAAAUGUAGUUAUCUGGAUCUGCGUUAUUCCAACUCUACAUUCGUUGCUGAAGAUUUACGACGACAUAAUGUCGACAAUCGAUAAUUUGCAAUACACUUUACCGCUUCUAAUAGCGGUAAUAAAACUGUUCAUCAUUUGGCAAAAAAAAUAUGACGUUCUACCUUUAUUAAACAUGAUCAAGGACGAUUGGUUGAGAUCAAAAACGUCGGAAGAGAGGAAUGUCAUGAUAAAACAAGCACGAAUCGCACGUAUUCUCACGAUAUUCGGUUGCUUCGUAACGCAAACGGCUGCUAUAAUAAUCUUGUUGCUUUCCGUUUGUGGCAUUUCAAUGAGAUAUAGGACCAACAGAACAGAUUCGGACAAAUUAUUGCCACUACCAUCGUAUUAUAUAUACGAUGUAAGUAACAGUCCACUUUACGAAGUGAUUUUUGUUCUACAAAGCUUUAGUUUCAUGAUAGCUGGUAUGAUGUACACCGGUACGGAUACCUUUAUGAGUCUGCUGAUCUUUCACGUAUGUGGUCAGCUCGAAAAUCUCAAAGCACGUAUUAGCAAUUUUGAUAAACUCAACAAUUUUGCGGACACCUUAUCAAUCAGCGUGAAGGAUCACAUACGUCUUAUCAGAUCCAUCAUAGUUAUUGACGAUACGUUUAAUUUGAUGUUACUUGGAUUGCUAGUUUAUUUUGGCAUACUUUUUGCUCUAUUUGGAUUCUUAUUUGUUUCUAUAAUAACACAAGGUAGCAAUCUUUCUAUAGCACGACUGAUUUUCACUGUGAUGACCUUUGUCCUUACAUUCGGACACAUAAGUCUAUAUUGUGUAUUAGGAGAAAUUUUAGUUAUUCAGUACGACGGGAUUUAUGAAGCUGUUUGCCAAUACGAAUGGUACAAUUUAAAGCCCAAGCAAGCAAAAAAUUUGCUGAAUAUAAUGAUGGAAACUAAAAGACCACUACAUCUUACUGCGGGAAAACUGUUUCCUAUGACUAUAGCUACGUUGUGUAAUACGAUGCGCACUUUACAAUUAAACUCCGAAGUUCUGUACACCUCAUACACACAGUUAAAAAUCAAUAACCGUAAAUAUGUCGAAGUAUCUAUAGUUGCAUCGAGGAAAAGAGAUGUUAGUUCCUCCUUAUCCGUUGACAUGGACAUUUCAACACAUUCCGGUUAUGCAGAUUAUGAAUGGGCUAUUGGAUUAAAUCAGGCUUGUCUAAAACCAUUUGGUAUUUGGCCGGAAAACGAUCAACGGAAAUUUAUACUAAACGUACGCGUGAUUAUCGCAGCAGCUAUAUUAUUCAGUAGUUUGAUUCCAUGUUUACACUCUGCUAUUAGAGUUGAAAAUGAUAUUAUAUUAAUAAUCGACAAUUUACAAUAUAGUUUGUCUAUCAUGAUAGGAAUGUUGAAGCUAUUUACUAUGUACUGGAAGAAAAAAGAUCUUAUACUAAUUCUAAGAAUGAUUAAAGAGGACUGGUUACAACCGAAGACAACAAAACAAAGACACAUUAUGGUAAAGCAUGCGAGAAGUGCACGUUUUAUAAUGAUAUUUGGAUAUUUGACAAUAAUAUCAUCAUUCAUCUUACUUGUGUUUUUACCGUGUUUUGGUGUUUCGAUAAGAUAUCUGAAAAAUAUGACUAACUCGGCCAGAUUGAUGCCAAUGCAGUCAUAUUACCUUUAUGAUUCGGAUCAAAGUCCUUUAUAUGAAAUAUCAUUUGUCCUGCAAGCCGCUUGCGUCGUAUCAACGGCUGCGUUGUUCAGUGGUAUAGACAAUUUCUGGGGACUGACGGUUUCCCAUAUAUGCGGCCAAUUGGAAAAUCUUCAAACACGUAUCACUAGCCUCGAUAUGUUCAAGGAUUUUGACAGUACUCUAUCAUACAGCGUGAUAGACCACAUACGUCUUAUCAGAUCUAUCAAUAUCAUUGACAAUGUGUUUACUAUAAUGCUGCUAGGAGCACUCCUUUACUUUGGCAUAUUAUUCGCUUUUUACGGUUUUUUAUUUGGUACUAUGUUUAGUCAAGGUCGAAACCUUUCUGUUGCACGUUUAUCUUUCAUCCUGAUAGUAUCUCUCAAUAUAUUUAUGCAUAUGUGUCUCUACUGUGUUUUAGGUGAAAUUUUGCUUGCACGAUGCGAGGCAAUUUACGAUGCAGCAUACGAAUACAACUGGUACACAUUGGAAUCCAAAGAAGCGAAAACUUUAUUGAUGAUAAUGAUUCGUGCCAACAAGCCGUUGUAUCUCACUGCGGGAAAAUUGUUUCCUAUGACUAUGGCAAUGUUUUGUAACUUAUUAAAGACAUCAGGUGGUUAUAUAUCGGUUUUGCUGGCGCAUCAGAAAUAAAAAGCAGAAAUCUAAACUGAUAUCUAUCUAUAUCUAGUUUCGUGGAAGAUGUAAUACUUUUGUAGAAUUGUAUAGUGUGAAAAAUCCAGGUUUCUAGCUUUAAAAUGGUGUAUCGUACGACCUUCUAAUGUCACGGGAAGUAUUAGUUAUAUUAGCCUGAAAUGU